rnacentral:tRNA from 1 species
UGGGGCGUCGCCAAGUGGUAAGGCACCGGGUUUUGGUACCGGCAUUCGCAGGUUCGAAUCCUGCCGCCCCAGCCA